rnacentral:lncRNA from 1 species
GUUUUGAUGAAAUUAGCACUUCCUGUAGAAUGACAGAAUCGCAGAAGUUCUGGGUUCCAUUCCAUGCAUGUCAUCAGAAUGAAGCGUAAUUUUGGUUUGUUUGCGUAAGAAAUGCAACAUGUCUACUUUUUUGUUCUGAUUCCAACAAAGCAAACAGAACCUGGAGAAAUCGGAACUUGCAGUGGAGUGAGGACUGUGCGUUUUCCUGACCCUAUUUCUCACAUAACUGACUGAGUUUUGAUUUGAUGAAAACCUAACGAAUGCUCCCCUUGGUUUCUGUGGGUUUUGCAGCCAGCAAGGCGAACGCUGCACCCGCUUCGAUGUCCCUUUUAACACAAAUGCAACUGCUUCUGAAGCAAGCCCCACAUGUGAGCUGCUCUGCAAGACAGAGGAGGAGCACCAGGCCUGAAGAGGUCCGUUGA